CUACGGGAUGCACCAGUGGGGAAUAUUGCACAAUGGGGGAAACCCUGAUGCAGCAACGCCGCGUGGAGGAUGACACAUUUCGGUGCGUAAACUCCUUUUAUAGGUCAAGAUAAUGACGGUAGCCUAUGAAUAAGCGCCGGCUAACUCCGUGCCAGCAGCCGCGGUAAUACGGAGGGCGCAAGCGUUACUCGGAAUCACUGGGCGUAAAGAGCAUGUAGGCGGGUUAAUAAGUCAGAAGUGAAAUCCAAUAGCUCAACUAUUGAACUGCUUUUGAAACUGUUAACAUAGAGUGUGGGAGAGGUAGAUGGAAUUUCUGGUGUAGGGGUAAAAUCCGUAGAGAUCAGAAGGAAUACCGAUUGCGAAGGCGAUCUACUGGAACAUUACUGACGCUGAGAUGCGAAAGCGUGGGGAGCAAACAGGAUUAGAUACCCGUGUAGUC
rnacentral:rRNA from 1 species